AGAGGUCUAGCCUGCCCAGUGACAUAGUUUAACGGCCGCGGUACCCUAACCGUGCAAAGGUAGCAUAAUCACUUGUUCCUUAAAUAGGGACUCGUAUCAACGGCAUCACGAGGGCUGUACUGUCUCCUUUCUCCAAUCAGUGAAACUGAUCUCCCCGUGAAGAAGCGGGGAUAAAUCUAUAAGACGAGAAGACCCCAUGGAGCUUUAAACCCAUCGCACACCUCUACGCACUCAAAUCAGUAUAGCCUAAGAAGCUUGUGCGUUGGUUUUAGGUUGGGGGGACCGCGGAGUAAAAUUAAACCUCCACGACAGACGGGCUAAUACCCUUAUCCAUGAACCACAAUUCUAAGAGCCAAUAAAUUGUUGUCUAAUGACCCAAUUACUUGAUCAACGAACCAAGUUACCCUGGGGAUAACAGCGCAAUCUACUUCAAGAGCCCCUAUCGACAAGUAGGUUUACGACCUCGAUGUUGGAUCAGGGUAUCCCAGUGGUGCAGCCGCUACUAAAGGUUCGUUUGUUCAACGAUUAAAACCCUACGUGAUCUG
rnacentral:rRNA from 1 species